GUAGGUGGCAAGCGUUGUCCGGGAAUUAUUGGGGCGUAAAGCGCGCGCAGGCGGUUCUUUAAGUCUGAUGUGAAAGCCCACGGCUCAACCGUGGAGGGUCACUGGAAACUGGAGAACUUGAGUACAGAAGAGGAAAGCGGAAUUCCACGUGUAGCGGUGAAAUGCGUAGAGAUGUGGAGGAACACCAGUGGCGAAGGCGGCUUUCUGGUCUGUAACUGACGCUGAGGCGCGAAAGCGUGGGGAGCAAACAGGAUUAGAUACCCUGGUAGUCCACGCCGUAAACGAUGAGUGCUAAGUGUUAGGGGGUUUCCGCCCCUUAGUGCUGCAGCUAACGCAUUAAGCACUCCGCCUGGGGAGUACGGCCGCAAAGGCUG
rnacentral:rRNA from 1 species